GGUGACAUCGUUCUCGUGCAACAUCAUGACUUUAUGUCACUCUUUCUUGGAUAAGGAUAUAUUUGACAUGAUUUGGAUUCUUACAUUUGUAUAAUAUAACAUCGAACUAAGUCUGUGAAUGUUGUUUCUUGGAACCGUAUUAUUUAUGUAAAUAGUCUGAAGCAAAAUAAAUAAGAAAUCUGAGAAGGAAGAUUUAAGUUUUUGCCAACGUUGUUUGUCAAUGUGAAGAAAAUGUGGAAAAAGCACAAAUGACGCCAUAUCUAAAUGUGACAACUACAGAUAAGUACAAGGAAACGAAACAGUCGUUGCUAUGGUUACCAUACGUUAUAAUUACAGUUGUAUGUCUCGUAUUUCUGGCCAUUAACUUCUGGUGUUAUCACAGGAGAAGACGGUUGCAAUAUGAGAGAAAAUCAGAAGUACUUGAGACCAGGGAGCGUGUUAGGGAACGCCGAAUCAUCCUUAAUAUUGUCAAAGCAAAAUACAAGGCAUAUAUUGUAGAUGAUAAAGAAAAUAAUAUAGAAGAAAAGUCGUGUGUUGUUUAUUCAAAUUCUAUGCAAUUUACAUCUACUGGACACGGAGUCGCCAACGUGUGAUAAACGGAUGUAUAUUAUUGGAUAUUCAUUAUUUGAUAGUUUUAUGAAAUGGUUUAUGUUUAUUCAUAUGGAACAAAUGGAAAAUGAUCCUUAAUUUGUGUUUACGAAUCCUUUAGCUUUUAAGAAGAAAUAUAAUCAAAAUCAUUAAGAAAUAACUUGUAUAAUAAAAGAGCCUAUUCUUGACAGUAGAUUAACGAUAACUUACAUGAGCCCGCAGAACAAAUCUUGAUGACAAAAUGGGUUGGAGGUACGUGAAACUGUUAGCUUCUAAUUACAUAAACUACAACAAAGUCUAGCUUCCAUGCAGAAAUGAACUUUAUUGGUGUUAAACACUUUUCUAUUUCCAUACAUGAAAUAAUCUGAAUUGUAUCAUUUUUGAUAUCGAUAAAAUUGAUAUUGAUCUGGAGGUAUUUCCCUUUAAGGUAUCCGAUCCACAAAUAAGUAAAUUUCGAUGCCUUGUAACACAAUGCUUUUGUAUCAUUUCAAAGAGUUGUGUCUGCUGAACAAGAAUAAGUAAAUAAAAUGACCAUAAAUAAUAAGCAAGAGUCAUUACAGUCAUGUUUUUGACUGUGAAAUGAUGAAUCUUACACUGUAAUGAGAGGAAUUCUGUUGAAGUAUCAAUGAAGACUAAAUAGUGAAAGAAAAAAGAAAUUCAUAUAAUCAAUAUUUUCUUUUUCAGUAUACAAUACACUUUCAAAUGAUACCAAAAUAUUAUGAGGUUACCAGGUAACAAUACUUGAUAUAUCUUAAUAACAUUGUUAUAGAGACCUUGCUUAUUUGUGGAUCGGAUACCUUAAACAGCUAUGUAAUACUUCAUUUCCGUAUUCAGUUUUCACAAGAACAUUUCUAUAAAUAUUAUAAGACAUUUGUAGCUUUUUGUAAGAGUUUGAAUACGUUUUUCAAUUAGCGGUAGAAAAUUUCAUUUAGAUAUACAUGUGAUUUACUAUAUUCUAGCUUUAUCACGUUUUGGUGAACUAAAGACAAUUAAAAGAGAAGAAAAUAUCCGCCAAAAAGACCCUAGGAUGAACUUCUAGUAUUUCUUCAAGUAUACGAAACAAAAUCUACAAACUUAUGCAAUCAACGUAAACUUUAUAAGUCAAGUCAAAUAGUUUAUAUAUAUAAGUGAUUAUUAUACAAAAAGUAUCAUACAUUUGGGUACUGUUCACUUUGUUAAAGAAUGUCAACAUGUCAACAACAUAAUUGAGCCGCGCCAUGA
rnacentral:lncRNA from 1 species